AUGAAGAACAGGUGUUGGACGGCAGACCGCCUGGCGCCGCGAGGCCUACCGCAUCCGGAUGCAUGCUCGUUCUGCGACCAGCAAGUGGAGACCUUGGACCACAUCGAAUUGACAUGCAUCUUCGCAAGAACGGUAUGGAGGACCUUGUGCACCACGAUCAGCAAGCCGUCCUGGACGCCCACGGGCCACGGCACAUGA
rnacentral:rRNA from 1 species